ACUUUUCAGCCAGCCUCUUCCUCCACCAAACUCCAAAGACUAAACCCUCCAUUUAAAAUACGAGUAAUUUUCCCAAGAAAAUGAAAUAAAAUAAAAAACAAUACCACCAUCAUCACCAUUCUCCUUUUACAGUAUUAUUGUAGUUCAGAAUUAACCCAGUUCAUUAGCUUUCCAAGGGAUCGAGGCAAGUAUUUGUGGAGAUGGCUGGUCACGAUCAUCAUCACCAUGGAAGUGGAACAUUUACGGAACAUUUUCUCAAAGAUCGGCAGAGUACAAUAUUAGAGAUUUCAGAAAGUAUUAAGGAAGAUACAUCUAGUGUUGAUGCAAUAGUUGAAAUUUCCAAGAGUAUUAAGAAAGACACCGCGAGCUUGGUAAGGAAUUCAGAAAUCGUGAUCUGUCUUCUUGGUGUUAUAUUGUGUGGUGUUGGUUGGUUAGUUUAUAAGAGUACUCAGAAGCCAAAAGCACCCAAGAAAGGCAAGGAAGAAACUGACCUCCAUUAGUCUCCGGAAGCCAGAAGGUACACCGAUUGUCGUCGACGAGAAGGUCUCAAAUUGGUAAUGUAUUUUGUUAUUUAAGUUGGUUUGAGGGUUGAGGGUGUGCUUGAUAUGGUGGUGUUCAAUGUUUUACUCUUGGUGUAAUAUAUGAAAAUUUAUGCUUGAUUUUUA